rnacentral:rRNA from 1 species
CGAGAGAACUCGGGUGAAGGAACUAGGCAAAAUGGCACCGUAACUUCGGGAGAAGGUGCGCCCUUAGGUGUGGUCACGUGCGUGACUGAGCAUCGAAGGGUCGCAGUAACCUGGCCGCUGCGACUGUUUAUCAAAAACACAGCACUCUGCAAACACGAAAGUGGACGUAUAGGGUGUGACGCCUGCCCGGUGCUGGAAGGUUAAUUGAUGGGGUCAGCCGCAAGGCGAAGCUCUUGAUCGAAGCCCCAGUAAACGGCGGCCGUAACAAUAACGGUCCUAAGGUAGCGAAAUUCCUUGUCGGGUAAGUUCCGACCUGCACGAAUGGCGUAACGACAGCGGCGCUGUCUCCACCCGAGACUCAGUGAAAUUGAAAUCGCUGUGAAGAUGCAGCGUUCCCGCGGCAAGACGGAAAGACCCCGCGAACCUUUACUAUAGCUUUACACUGAACGUUGAGUUCUUCUGUGUAGGAUAGGUGGGAGGCUAUGAAACCAGGACGCUAGUUCUGGUGGAGCCAUCCUUGAAAUACCACCCUGAAGUGCUUGACGUUCUAACCUAGGCCCGUAAUCCGGGUCAGGGACCGUGUAUGGUGGGUAGUUUGACUGGGGCGGUCUCCUCCCAAAGAGUAACGGAGGAGCACGAAGGUACGCUCAGCGCGGUCGGACAUCGCGCACUGUGUGCAAAGGCAUAAGCGUGCUUGACUGCGAGAUCGACGGAUCAAGCAGGUACGAAAGUAGGUCUUAGUGAUCCGGUGGUUCUGUAUGGAAGGGCCAUCGCUCAACGGAUAAAAGGUACUCCGGGGAUAACAGGCUGAUACCGCCCAAGAGUUCAUAUCGACGGCGGUGUUUGGCACCUCGAUGUCGGCUCAUCACAUCCUGGGGCUGUAGCCGGUCCCAAGGGUAUGGCUGUUCGCCAUUUAAAGUGGUACGCGAGCUGGGUUCAGAACGUCGUGAGACAGUUCGGUCCCUAUCUGUCGUGGGCGUUGGAGAUUUGAGGGGGGCUGCUCCUAGUACGAGAGGACCGGAGUGGACGUUCCGCUGGUGUUCGGGUUGUCAUGCCCAUGGCAUUGCCCGGUAGCUACGAACGGAAGUGAUAACCGCUGAAAGCAUCUAAGCGGGAAGCACGCCCCAAGAUGAGAUCUCCCGAGAGCUUGACUCUCCUAAAGGCACCAUCAAGACUAGGUGGUUGAUAGGUCAGGUGUGGAAGCGCAGCAAUGCGUUGAGCUAACUGAUACUAAUGAGCCGUGAGGCUUGACCG